UUUUCCCUGACCCCUGCCAACCCUAGCUGCCGCACAAACGCCAAUCGCCGCCGGCUGUCGAUCGCUUCCCCGCGUCCCCUCGUGUGUCCUUCGCCUCCCUCUGCUCGAGGCCUCCCCAUCUCGCGCUGCCAAGAGCGACUCCUGGUCUCAGCAGCCGCCCUCACCUCCCUCUCUCUCCAACCAGCCCCGCUCUCCUCUCGCAUCACACAGGCGGCGGCUCAACAUAUGCUGCAGGGUGUGGCGUAUGUGGCAUCUGUGUUGUGCUUCCGCCGGCUGGUUGUGUGUGAUGUGUGCGGCUGGAUGUGCAUCCGUGUUUAUGUGUGUGGCCUUCUACAGGCAGAGGAAGUCGAUGGUUGCAGGCAGAGGAAGCUGCUGGUUGCUGGCAGAGGAGGAUUAUGAUAGUUCCCUUGCUCUUUGCCAGAAAAAUUGAUAGUUCUCUUGAUUUGUUCUGGUCUGGAUUAGUACAAAAGUGCACUGAUAUUUGUUUUGUGGUGCGGGAGUUUCAAGACAACAGGUUUAGCAGGGAUCAAUUGCAACCUUCGUUUAUCUUCUGUUAUGUGAACCAAUUUGUGAUGGCUUCUAAAAGCACAUGGCUGGUACAGAGCAAUUUUUACACCAGAGCCGUCGUCUCCGUCGACUUCGCCGCAAGACAAUCUGCCAUCGCCUCCGCCGACUUUGACGUAAGAUCAUCAGCCGUCGCCUGGACGUACUUUGGCGCAGGAACCUGAAGGAAAGCGGCAACAAAAGCAAGAUCCAAAGGCGCAGUCGUGCAAGGUCGAACCAUCCAUAAAGAUCCUCUUCCUGCAGCUAUGAAAACUGUGGCAAGACCUUUGUUAAUGUGGCUGCCUUGAGGAAGCAUGCUCAUGUACAUGGCGAGAGAGGCAAUAUGUUUUUUCAGGAGCCUGGCUAUUUGAAGGUACCUCUAGCAAAUAUUCAUACCUCACACCUUUACCAAUGCAUACACUAACCGGUGGUGAACUUUCGUGUUUAUUAGCAUUGACAAACUUUUCAGUAAUUUCAUGGUUUAUUUUGACGGACCUUUCUCUAUUGUGCAUAGUUGAUAUUGAUAUAUCCAUCCAUCCAAUCCACGAUGAGUGUUAAUUGAUUAAUCCUGCACAACCAAUAAUUCAGUUAAUUUGAUCCUACUAGAUAUAUACUCCAUCCAAUUCACUGUGAGAAUUUUAAGAACCCAUAGGCAUCAAAGUCUUGGUCUUUUUUCCUGUCCAUGUGUAGGCACAAACAGUGCUCCAGCUCGGUCGGAUUAGAUAUAAGUUUGGUCUCUGCCCGAGCUCCAAUUGCUGCUUGGAUUUCCUUUUUUUUCCUCUCAUGCAACCGCAGAUACCAUCUGACGCCUUUUCUUUUCGUGAUUGAAUGGUGCUAAUAGAUUUCAUCAUAUGACUAUUGUUUCUCGGUUAGGGGCCUGUUAUAUUUUUUUCAGCUUGAUGAUGCCGUGGUCGCCCCACCGAUCAAAUCCCCGCACACACGCAACAACUCAACUCUACGGUUUGUACACCACCACCGCUUGAGCAGCCUGGCGAACGAUUUAGGUAAUGUAUCUGUAUAAUAUAAUCCUCCAUUACCAUGCACAAAGACUUCAAUUUAAUUUUAGAUCAGUUUAGUUCAGUGUGGUGAUGCUCAGCAUAAUAAGGUGUUGUGUUGUUAUAUUGAAAUAAAUGAUUCAACAGAGGUGAAUGAUCUCUCUGACUGAUGUUGCCAGUUGCAUCACAUACUUGCUAGCUUCCCAAAUGCAGUAAGCAAUGAGUACUUUCCAAAUGUAGCAGUGAAGACACUCAUUUUCAGAGCAGCUAUACUCACAUGUGCCCCAAACCAUUUAAUUGCUUUAAUUCCUGAACAAAUGUAGGUUGGUUCUCUUGCUUUUUACCAUGGUAACUUUGUAAACAUCAGAAGGCCUAAAUUUGGCAGCACACUCACUCGCUCAACAAUGAGCACUGGAGUCUAAAGCUUUGCUAUUGGCUGAAGAACAUCAAGGUCUUCAUUACAUGAUUAUUAGUUUCUUAAAUAUUUGUAUAACAUCAGAGUACUUUUUAGUUACAGAUUUGGCAAUACCCAGGACAUUAUUCUCCAGUCCAACUAUUGGCUUUCAAGGUGGCAGUGUGAGACAUUGUCGCUAUCACAGGAUCAUGUGGCAACGUAUUUGGUUUU